rnacentral:rRNA from 1 species
GAUGAACGCUGGCGGCGUGCCUAACACAUGCAAGUCGAACGCUGACGCAAGGAGCUUGCUCUUUCCGGAGGAGCUGCGAACGGGCGAGUAAGGCGUAGGUAACCUGCCUGGUAGCGGGGGAUAACAACGGGAAACGAUAGCUAAUAACACAUAACAGUACAUGUGGCAUGAUGUCUACUUAAAAGGUGCAAUUGCCCAACUACCAGAUCGACCUCCGGUGUAUUAGCUAGCUGGUGAGGUAACGGCCCACCAAGGCGACGUUACAUAGCCGGCCUGGGAGGGUGAUCGGCCACAACGGGACUGAGGCACGGCCCAGACUUCUAAGGGGAGCAGCAGGAGGGAAUCUUUGGCCAAGGAGGGAAAGCUGACCGAACAAGGCCCGGUGGGUGAAAGAAGUUUUCGGAACGUAAAGCUCUGUUGUAAGAGAAGGAAGAGGGGGAGAGUGAAAAGUUCACACUGUGACGGUACCUUACCAGAAAGGAACGGCUAACUACGUG